UGGUUUGCAACUGGUCAACAUUUCAGUAAAGUUCAGCAUUUGAUAUCAGUUGGAAAUGUUUGAUGUUAGUGAUCUCAUGUUAAUAAGCUGUCAAUACCACUGUGACAAUGUGUGAAAAGACACACAUUCACUCCCACAGGCAUUGUUAUUCUUUGACACUGUUUGCUAUGAAAUGUCAUUUUUGCGUGUUUUUUUUUUCUUUUUUAUGCUAGUUUCUGUUUUGUAAGUGGUUUUUCCCCUCACAUUAUUUCAUGUUAAAAAAGAACGAAUGAAGGUAUGUGAGGAGAUGAUCGUUCGAGUGAAAAAUUCAUCUCAUAAUUUGUUAAUAUAUUGAAAAUUCUAGGAUGGGGUUAAAAUUCUAUAUUUACAUGUACCGGUAUUUGAAAAUGGGGGGAAUUGAAGUUUUCUAUUUUUUUUAAAAUAGUAUAUCUUUCAGUCCUAAAUGUCUGAUGGAAAAAUGUUAAAAAGUAGGCUAAAACAUAAAGUUGGAAAGGGGGUGUGUGUGAAUGAUGCAACAAUUAUGUUAUACUGGUGGGUAUUUUUUAGAAUGAAAAUAUAGGUACAUUGUUAUUCCAAUCUUUUUUUAUCCUAUUUAUAUGUACCUUUAAUAUUUAGAACAUUGGAUACAAUUUUAGUAUCAAAUAAGUUUUGACAUCUUUAAAUUCAUUAUUUUUUUUUAUUUUGCCACUCAUUUACAGGUUUUGCCCAUUUGUAAUGAACCUGCAAAAAAUGGAUGAAAAAUUAUUUAAUUUUGGAUAUGUUGAUAUGUUUGAUAAAGAACAAACAUUGAAUUGUAUUUUUGUUCAAGAUAGUUAAGACUGCAACCAGUGUAACUGGUGUUAUUGUUCCAAGUUCUACCAUAUUCUCAAGUAUCUGAUGAUGACAUCACUGCCAGUAGAUUAAUGGAAAACAAAUGAUCAAUGGUACAAUGUGAAACUUGAGAAGCUCAAUAUGCAGUGACACAGAGACAGAUGUGUCUGGUUAUUAUCAAUAAAUGAGACCUAUAUC
rnacentral:misc_RNA from 1 species